AGUGAACGCUGGCGGUAGGCCUAACACAUGCAAGUCGAACGGCAGCACAGUAAGAGCUUGCUCUUACGGGUGGCGAGUGGCGGACGGGUGAGGAAUACAUCGGAAUCUACUUUUUCGUGGGGGAUAACGUAGGGAAACUUACGCUAAUACCGCAUACGACCUACGGGUGAAAGCAGGGGAUCUUCGGACCUUGCGCGAUUGAAUGAGCCGAUGUCGGAUUAGCUAGUUGGCGGGGUAAAGGCCCACCAAGGCGACGAUCCGUAGCUGGUCUGAGAGGAUGAUCAGCCACACUGGAACUGAGACACGGUCCAGACUCCUAAGGGAGGCAGCAGUGGGGAAUAUUGGACAAUAGGCGCAAGCCUGAUCCAGCCAUACCGCGUGGGUGAAGAAGGCCUUCGGGUUGUAAAGCCCUUUUGUUGGGAAAGAAAAGCAGCAGGUUAAUACCCCGCUGUUCUGACGGUACCCAAAGAAUAAGCACCGGCUAACUUCGUG
rnacentral:rRNA from 1 species